rnacentral:rRNA from 1 species
AUUGAACGCUGGCGGCAGGCCUAACACAUGCAAGUAGCACGAGUGCCGGAAGGGAGAGUAAUGUCUGGGAAACUGCCUGUGGGUGGGGGAUAACUUUUAGAAACGGUAGCUAAUACCGCAUACCAUCAGAUGUGCCCAGAUGUGAUUAGCUAGUUGGUGGGGUAACGGCGCACCAAGGCGACGAUCCCUAGCUGGUCUGAGAGGAUGACCAGCCACACUGGAACUGCGACACGGUCCAGACUCCCACGGGAGGCAGCAGUGGGGAAUAUUGCACAAUGGUCGCAAGCCUGAUGCAGCCAUGCCGCGUGUAUGAAGAAGGCCGUAGGGUUGUAAAGUACUUUCAGCGGGGAGGCGUUACCCGCAGAAGAAGCACCGGCUAACUCCGUGCCAGCAGCCGCGGUAAUUC